AUUUCAUUGUAUACUUGUGUUUUUUUGCCCUUUCCAGGAAUCAACAAUAAAUAAAAACGGAUUAGUUCCAACAUAGAGCUUGAUAACAUUUUUCGAAUAUUCUUGGUAUAGAGAUGUCGUUAAUUUUCUUGAUUUUGAACACACGACUUCAACAUUUCUACACAAUUUGAGCAGUUCAUCAACAUCCUUCUGAACAUAUAAUUCAAAACAAUCUGAAUUCUUGCAAACAAACAAAAAAACUUUGACAAAAUCUGGUAAGUUAUUAAAUAAAGAAUAUUGUGCAGUGUAAGAGUGAGAAAUCUUACUCGAACUUUACAUCGGAGAUUUGAAUAACUUCUGUAUGCGUAUAAGUUCGCGAAACAGUCUAUAUUCGCAACCUGUUUGAUCUGUAUUAAUUAUAAAAUCAGGAUUGUAGUCUGGCGAAAUUGCUUGAAUCAAUCGUUGAAAAUGUGUUGCUGAUUCUAUAAUAGCUUCUGGUGGUGUCAUCUCUUUUUUUCAAAAGGUACCGGAUGACUUUGCGAUUCGAAUUUUAUGCUCACAUAAAAACAAAGUUAACCAUGAGCUCGAUGCUACAGAAUGGAAAACAUUUUUGUGUUCUUUGCUGUCUUCUUGAUUGUCAUUAUAUUGAGCAGCUGCAACCAUGGCCCAUUGCUGAAGUAUGUCAUGUUACAAGCUGUUUAUUUGCUCUUGCUUCUACAAAACGAUCGUGCACAUUAUUUUUUAUUGACUGCAGCUUGUCUCUGUAAUUUCCACCUGACAAAACAUCUUUUUUGUAUCGUGCAAUAUCACAAUCAUAAUGUAAAAAUCUUUUAUAUCGUUGUUGUAGCGUACGAAAGGUCCAAAAUGGAUGUUCAGUUGCAGUCAUGACGAUCUUCAAUUUAAUAUCAAAUGUCACAGAUUCGUGUGGUGGAUUGUAUUCUUCAUCGGAUAUAGUGUGACUUGUAUGAGGCAUGCUUUCACAUGCAACAUCAUCUUUUCCUGCUGCUAUAUAACAUCAAGGAGUAUAUAUAACAGGAGUGUGUACUCUACGUCGGCGACUUUGAUCUUCGCGACCAGAUAUAGAAUCAGUGCCACUCAGUGUUAGGACCGUGAAAACACUUGUUUACCAGCCUUACUUAAUCAGUCGAUUGCUUAUAGUUUGCGAUUACAUGAAAAUAUGAUUUGAAUGCGCUAUUUCAAAUAAAUGUAAUAUAAAUGUUAGUUUCAGAUCUUAUUAAAAACCUGAAAUAAAUUUAUAUUUGUUGCUAAAACGUACUCUUAUGCUU
rnacentral:lncRNA from 1 species